CUGAGUUGUAAGGGACCUAUGAAGACCAUUGAGACCAACUCCUGGACCUGCACAAGACACCCCAAGAUCAUGGGUCUGAGAGUGCUGUCCAAACACUUCUUGAGCUCCAUCAGGUUUGGUGCUGUGACAACUUCUGUGGAGAGCCUGUACCGGUGCCUAACCAUCCUCUGGGUCCAUGUCUUUCCUGUGCUGGGGACCUCAGAGCUGGAUGCAGCACUCUGGGUGUAGUCUCACCAAAGCAGAGUAGAUAGAGGAGCAGAAAAACCUCCCUUGACUUGCUUGUCACACUGCUUUUAAUGCAGCCCAGAAUACAGUUGGAUUUUUGUGUGUCAGGAGAAACUUUCCCAGCCUGCCACGACUUUCAUCUGAUGUGUGCAUGGUGUAUAUGACCUGGCAGACACCUGUCUUUCUGAAAAGGCACAGAAAAAUACUUAGUGGAGACACUGGCAGUUGUAUUGAUUACAGUAUUUAAUAUAGUGCUUGGGUCAAAAUAUUGUUAGCACAAAGCAUUCACGUCAGCAUCCCUAUUAGAUUAUAUAAGUAAUUAGCAUUACCCCUAUUUUACAGAGAACAGUGAAAGAAGAAUGAGGAGAAAAUUGGCUGACUCUGUAAGGAUGUAUUAGCCAGCUAUGAGGCAAAGUUAACAUCAGGAAAGUUAGAACACUCUGUAUUAUAUUUAGUUCAGUCCCACCAUCCUGAAAAAAACAGGUGUGCUUUUGAAAUUAACUUUUCUUUGUCAGACCUGUCUUUUAUACUAAAAUUAUAUUUAAGGAUGAUGGUCUCCUUUUUAUCUGUGAUUUUGCUUUUGUUACACUAUUAUUUUUUCUCCUUGCAAUGUAGGAAAAUAUAGUUUCAAUCCAUGUGGCAAUGAAAAUUUUAUGCACAGAAGAACUGGAUUAUAUAGGAGUCUAAGAAAAUGUUGUUUCUUCCUUGAAAACAUUAUGUGAAACAACAUGCACUGUGUGCAUGUUUGUGCAAUCACACAAAUCUGAGUUUUGACUCUGAAUUUCUAUCCAUGAAAAUUGUAACUGUAUCAAUUAA